rnacentral:rRNA from 1 species
UACGGAGGGUGCAAGCGUUAUCCGGAUUCACUGGGUUUAAAGGGUGCGUAGGCGGGCAGGUAAGUCCGUGGUGAAAUCUCCGAGCUUAACUCGGAAACUGCCAUGGAUACUAUUUGUCUUGAAUACUGUGAAGGUGAGCGGAAUAUGUCAUGUAGCGGUGAAAAUGCUUAGAUAUGACAUAGAACACCAAAUUGCGAAGGCAGCUCACUGCGCAGUGAUUGACGCUGAGGCACGAAAAGCGUGGGGGAUCAAAACAGGG